rnacentral:lncRNA from 1 species
CCAUGGCAAAAAAUUUGUCACAAAUAUCUUGAACUUGUCUGGGCUAAAAAUUUAUUUGCAAAAUAUGUCACAAAAUUUUUAGGGAUUUUAGUAUAAAAUUUCCUUUUAAAUUUUAAGAGACUAUGUUGCAAAACCCAUCAGCAAAAUUUUUCAACUGAAUGUUUGCUAUGCAAUUUGAUAUAAUUUUUGUUUCCAAGUGAAAGUUUAGAUUAUUGGUCCCAACGUGUGUGAAUACCACAAUUUGUAAAUUGCUUAAAGUAAAUAACACAACUAUGAUCAUGAAGAAAUUUUUUUGCAAAAGAUCAAAAACUCCGGCCACUUUGCCAUUCAACAAUCCGUUAUAAACGAUAAGAUUGUAUGAUUUAGACUCAACUAACCCUUAGUCCCCUCUGAACUUCUUCCUAGAAUCAACUUGAUCCUCAUGUACUGCGCGCUCCUCAUACCAGCUCUCAACUCCUUAUGUUGUUUAUCUCCUGUGGACCUCCAAGAACGAACCCCGUUCUUUAGUGUUGGAACUCCAAGCGCCUCUUCCUAAAACAUUAACAACUCUGAAGGUAAUUGUUGAGGUAGGUUUUGAUGUUUGAUCAACGAUCUUGUAUGUUUUGAUCUGUGGUUUAAUAUGACGGUUUACAGGUCGAUCAACAAAUCUAAGUUUGGAUGGAUUUAUGGCUCAAAUAAUAUGGUGGUUGAAUCUUGAAAUCAAUGAAAGUAAUUUCGAUAUUCAAAAAGAUGAUUUGUA